GGGGUUGUGGCUCAGUGGUUGAGCACCCCCCCUAGCAUGGUUGAGGCACCGGGUUCGAUCCUCAACCCCA
rnacentral:tRNA from 1 species